UACGUAGGGUGCAAGCGUUGUCCGGAAUUAUUGGGCGUAAAGAGCUCGUAGGCGGUUUGUCGCGUCGGCUGUGAAAACCUAGGGCUCAACUCUGGGCUUGCAGCCGAUACGGGCAAACUAGAAUUCGGUAGGGGAGACUGGAAUUCCUGGUGUAGCGGUGAAAUGCGCAGAUAUCAGGAGGAACACCGAUAGCGAAGGCAGCUCGCUGGGACGGUGACUGACGCUGAGGUGCGAAAGCGUGGGGAGCGAACAGG
rnacentral:rRNA from 1 species